GAUGAACGCUGGCGGCGUGCCUAAUACAUGCAAGUCGAGCGAACAGACGAGGAGCUUGCUCCUCUGACGUUAGCGGCGGACGGGUGAGUAACACGUGGAUAACCUACCUAUAAGACUGGGAUAACUUCGGGAAACCGGAGCUAAUACCGGAUAAUAUAUUGAACCGCAUGGUUCAAUAGUGAAAGACGGUUUUGCUGUCACUUAUAGAUGGAUCCGCGCCGCAUUAGCUAGUUGGUAAGGUAACGGCUUACCAAGGCGACGAUGCGUAGCCGACCUGAGAGGUGAAUCGGCAACAUUGGACCUGAGCAACGGUCCAACUUCUACGGGGAGGCAGCGGUAGGAAAUUUUCCGAAAGGGGGGAAACCCUGCGGGGGAACCGCGGGGGGAGUGAUGAAGGUUUGCGAACGGUAAAACUCUGUUAUAGGGGAAAAACAAAUGUGUAGUAACUAUGCACGUCUUGACGGUACCUAAUCAGAAAGCCACGGCUAACUACGUG
rnacentral:rRNA from 1 species